rnacentral:lncRNA from 1 species
CGAAUUUCCACCAUAUAUCGUAAUGGUGCCCAAUUUUACCGUCAAACAAGCCAACAAUAAUUUAAUACUGUUUAAAAAUAAUUGGCGAGAUAAAUAAGAGAAGAUCGUUCCAAAAUCAUGAUAAAAUACUAACAUCGUCAUCAAGAUUCAAACAUGAUAAAAUAUAAAGUUGAGUGUCAUAACAAUGCUGCAACCACAAACAAACAGUCUACAAUUCCUAAAAUCUGUAUUAUAAAUGCAUGAGCAUUUAUUAGAAUAUACAAUACUACUACAACAACUAUAUGGAAUAGAAAGUAGACAGAUACAGUAAAAUAAAUAGGAAGGGGACUCUGUGUGCUACAGUUCGAAGAAUAGAAAGCACCUCACCGCAAAGUUUUCUCAGUAGUUGUGCCUAUGCGCCUGUAUGACCACCAGAUGGACCUAUCUUAGUACCUGCACAAUUUGUGUAAAAAUGUAGUAUAAGUACAUAAAUCAAUACGCACCCAGUAAUAAUCUAGUCUAACCUCGAAGAAGGCUUGACAAGGAAUCGACAUGGAUACUUACUAGUGAUCCAAUAAUCAGUAUGAAAAAAUAUGCAUAUGUGAGGCAUGGCAAGUAGCAAUGAAGCAGAUAACUAUGUACAAUAUUAUUUCUAAUAAAAGAACAAAAUAUGAAACUAUCAAGUACCAAUUACUGUCUCGAAUGGAGUACACAUGACCAGUAUCAGGUGUAAAUGCUAAAUCCGAGUCAAGAUGCUCAAGUACGUACUGCCUCCCUAUCGAAAUAUUCCACACAAUCCUAGUGAGUGAACGGUUCAAUCCCAUAAGAUUAGUGGUAAGGAAAUCGGAUAUUCCAUAUAAUCCUGCUGAGGGGAAAAGCCUAAUCCCAUAAGAGUGGUGUUGAGACGAUCAACAUGAUCCCAUAAUAGUAUCACUGAGGUGUUUUCAUAAGAGAUGUUGGGGUGAAUAACCCGAUCCCAUAAGAAUAUUGAAACUUUCGGUGAGACUAGCACAACUCAUGAGUAUACAUAUGAGUUAAAUAAUCAUGAAAAUUUUCGAAUAAAUAAGUACAAUACGGGAGUAAUUUCGUAAGAGAAAGUAUAAUUCCAACGGCUAAUCAAGCAACGGGCCAAGUCUCUAGAAUAACAAAAUUCGAUAAACUACACAAGUCUAAUCUCAAGCUAAAUCAUGAAAGCGUUUAAUAAGCAAGAUUAACUCAAAUAGUACAGCUAAAGUAUGAUGUAAAUCUAAGUCUAACCCGACGUAUCAAAAAUCUAGCAUAUGCACGUACAUUCAUCACCUAAUAAGUAUGUAGCUCAGAUAAAACACAGCACAUAGCAACUAGAACACAUACGGAAUAAUUCUCUCUUACAAGGUUAGGCAAGAUAUUUACCUUGCCCCUAAAUCUAAUGACCGCUCUUAUGCUGCUCUUACACCUUAAACCAAUACUGAACAACCCGAAAUUAGCCAAAGAACGUUCAAACUAAUCAAAACAUACUCAAGAACCCAUAAUUUAUCAAUUAGAAAUAAUUUUCAACCUUGCGAGAAAAGUCAGUAAAAGUAACCUCGGCCCUAGGCCCUGAUUCACGUCUAAUCCACACUCAAUAAUAAGUGAAAAAUGAUCACUACAAUUAUAAUAUCCAAUGUGAGUCGGGGUCGAAUUCCUCAGGGAGUUUACAAUCGAUAUUAAGGUAAAUACAUGAAGAUAAAAUGUGAAAUAGCUAAAUUGUACUUCUAAACAAGAGGGUGAUUGUUAUCUAACUUAAUACUAAUAAACUAUACUAAGUAAAAGCAACUAGAGAAUAAAUUGUUUUGUCAUUUUUUGUCUAUUGAGAAAAAUCCUCGGCAUGUAUCAUUUACCUAGGUGUAACCUUAAUAGGUAUAUUAAGUUAAUGCUUGUAUGGUAGAUAAGGGUGUAUUAUGACUCUCAAAUUUCAAGUACUCAUUUAAUACCUUUCGGUCAUAGAGUGGUUAUGCCCAAAUUGAUUUUCUCAAGUCCAAAUUGGUAGCAAUCUAAGCAAUUAAUACGAGUCCAAGCCGGAUUUUUCCUAUCUCUAGUUCAAACCCUUUAAUCAAACUAGUCAAAACCUUAACUAACUCUAUUUUUUGUUAACCAAAUUUUUCUAAACUAGGUUCCUCUUUCUCAAGUAAGAACUAAGUCAAAUAGGCAUGAAUCAAUAUUUGCAACCAUUAAUCCUAGAUAUAAUGCAUAAACAAGGCUAAAUAAUAAAUACUCAACCAUAAACAAGCAUUAAUAUUAACAACACAUAAGUUUUACACACUAGGGUCGGGUUACAACCCUAGAUAAAAUCUUGAUACUCCUGCUUGAAGGCAUAGAAAACAAAGUAGAAUAAAUAAUUAAAGACAUAAACCACCAUUAAAAUAUAAAAGUAGUGGGUCUUCGCCAAUUUUGAUCACAACAUCCCCAAAAGGGUGAAAUAUAACUGCUACAGCUGCUGAUAGGGAUACCAAACUUUUCCUAGCAAAGUGUUUUCCGUCUAUUUAUAGUACCUUGGAAUUUGCAGACAACAAUUUGCAGACCGCACUUUUCUUUUGCUCUUGUAUGAGGAGGAAACCUACAACUGCAUAAUUAUCUCUGCACCUGCACUUUAGCUCUACGGCCGCACAUUUUGAUUGCAGCACACAUUCUCAAGAGGCUUCAUACUUGGUCUUUUACACCUUCUCUGUAUUUGUCAAACUUUUUCACUGCGACCAUAUUUUGAGGCUGCAGAAUUUAGUGUGCGUACCGCACUUCCACAAAACUCCUCAGAGGCUUCAGGGCUUCAUCUGCGGCAGCACUUCCAUUUUUGCGGAUCACAUAAUCAUAUGUGGUCACAGCCUGUGCGGACCGCACUUCUGCAUACAAUUCUCCUUUUUUGCCUUGUUGAGCUAGAAUACACCUUUUUGAGUUAGAUUUCUUUGUUAAUCUCCAAUCCUACAACAUGUGUGCAAUUCACACGAUUUCAUUAGAUUUGGAAACAAAAUCACUACUUUCGAACUAAAACUAAAGCAAGAAGGUACUAAUAAGUGGUUAAAUCCACACUUAUCAACUCUCCCAAACUUAAGUCUUUGCUUGUCCUCAAGUAAAUAUAUUAAUUCGCACCUCCCCUAAGUGAUGGGUCAUUUCAAAGAGCCAAUUGUAAGUCAUUCACACUCAGUUGGGAAUACUCAUGCAUUUUCAACAAGAUGACAAAACAUAUGUUACAUGCAUAUAACUUUAGUAUGAUAUUUUCUUCAAGAAUUAACUUUACUCAUCAAGGACUCUAGUUAUAUCAUGUAAAUCAUGGUGGACUCCAAACUCUUUCUCCUAUACCUUCCAUUUGUCAUGCUCACUUUGAGAAUUAACACUAAAUUUCUAAAGCAAUUAAGAACUCACUCUUCUCGCACAAAGGAAUAUCACAAGUAAAGUUUCAAGUACCAUAGGCUUGCCCAUCAUAUAGAUCUCCACUAAUAUAUGCUCACUCGGUUCAAAAUCAAGUAGGACUUCUUUCUGGUUGUAACGAAGACUUUCAUAUUUCUGCAGGAUACCAUCUGGGAUAAGUGAUUAUAUAAGCACUCCACUCUUCAUUUCUUGGCUCAUAUUUACCAAAUCCUUAAAGGCAUUUAUUUUCCUUGGGGGACUUGCCAUCACUCUUUAUGGUUUAUUUCAUUCUUUUCUCCCUUGGUGCUCAUACUAGAGAUAUUUGCCUCUCUUUGCUUUCAUCAAUUUCCUUUUAUAUAUAUAUUUUUGGCAUUUUCUUUUUGUUCUUUCUUUUCUUGCCUUCUCUUUUCAUAGGAAUCAUUUCUUUUCUCUCUUUUCAGUGCCUUGAUACCACUUUUAGAUUCUUCAACUUUCCCCCCAAACUUAUGCCUUGAGACACUUAUUACAUGCGAGUGUUAAAGAAGGUUCGGGAGCCAAAAGAGGAUUAUAAUCAAAACGGGUAAAGACUUAUAACAUGGUUAAUAAUACAGAAAGGCUAAAGGCUCAAAGGGAUUGACUAGGGAUAACGAAAUAGGGUGGAAAAAGAAAUCUCAAACGGACCAAGAAAAGCCUACAAUCAUCUUCCAAACCAAGAAAACUUAAAAUUUCAUCUUGAAACACACCAAAGGCGAGUUCUAAACUAUCCACUCAAGUACUUGGACUAGCAACAAAAAGGUACCUCACCUCUCAUGCAACUCAACCGUAAAAGAGGAUAGAGUCUAAAACUCACGACGAUCACAAUCAAGUUAAAGAUCACUAUGGUCCAAUCAACCACUUAAUGAUUAUCAAAGUCAACUGAAGAACCUCAAAGUCACUAACUAGAGCUAUUUUCUUCUAAAAACCUUGUUUCAAAUCAUAAGCAUGUCAAAUGUGCAGGUGCCAAAUGAAGAAUGAAUAACUCUUUUAAGGGAUGACUUAAGUAGGGUUUUUAUUCAUUACUACUUACUAUUAUUAUUUACUAAACAUAAAACGAACUCAUUCCCUUAAGAAAGUCGUCACGCUAUCCAUCCCCGAGAAGAGUCACCCAGUUCACACAAUAUACCACUUUGGAAAGAAUCAUAGUAUUAAGAAAAUCAAAGGCUUAUUAUCAAUUCUAAUAAUAAAAACAUAAAAGCUACUAAAAACACAAUAAUGGAAAAAAAACUAAAGAAUCUAAUGAAAGUAAUAACUACUAAGCAUAAAUAAAAAUAAAAUAGAACUAUCUAAUUAUUAUAUUCCAAAGUAGCCAAACAUAUCAAAUAUGAUCCAUACACCCCCCCCCCCCNNNNNNNNNNNNNNNNNNNNNNNNNNNNNNNNNNNNNNNNNNNNNNNNNNNNNNNNNNNNNNNNNNNNNNNNNNNNNNNNNNNNNNNNNNNNNNNNNNNNNNNNNNNNNNNNNNNNNNNNNNNNNNNNNNNNNNNNNNNNNNNNNNNNNNNNNNNNNNNNNNNNNNNNNNNNNNNNNNNNNNNNNNNNNNNNNNNNNNNNNNNNNNNNNNNNNNNNNNNNNNNNNNNNNNNNNNNNNNNNNNNNNNNNNNNNNNNNNNNNNNNNNNNNNNNNNNNNNNNNNNNNNNNNNNNNNNNNNNNNNNNNNNNNNNNNNNNNNNNNNNNNNNNNNNNNNNNNNNNNNNNNNNNNCCCCCCCCCCCCCCCAAGAAUAAAAAUAAGAAUUGUUCUUCGUGUUUUAAAAAAUAAGAGCAAAAGGUAGAGAGGGCGAAGAAACUCCCUAAGUGUCCUCAGUCAUCACUGUGGACCCAGAAACAUCAGUCCUAGUUGGUUCAGCCAACUGAAUAUCAUCGUCAAGUCUGGGAGUGGCCAGAGAAGUGAACAUAGCACACACCGCCUCAGCAGUGUCGGAAACAAGGCACGACUCCUCAGUUGGAGCAUAUCCUACAACGAUAGAGCUGGGUAGAGCUGGGAGGGGUCAAGUAACAUGUCAAAUGGAAAAUCUCCAGCCUCAGCUAUUCGGGCCACCUUAUCUCGACGCUCAUCAACCAACUUCUUGUUGGCCUGUGACUUAAUUAUUUUCUUCACCUGCUUGAUUAAACUCUCAACCACAACACCAUGUUCUUCUAAUGUAUUCAUAAUGACCUUAUAGUUGUCCAAGAUUUGCUAAGCUACUCAUCAAUGUCAGAGGGGUCCGGGGACACCUGUGUAGAUGCCUUCCCUGCAACACUACUAGAAAUAUUAGACAGCUUUGAACUAGCUCCCUUCAUCCAGUUGUUAACACUCACCAAUAUUUGGGUGAAUGGAAAAUCAGAUAGUGGGCUUGUAGGCAUGGGUACUGUCCUUGGAGCUAGAGUAGGAACUACACUAGGAGCUGAGGAUUGUAACUCUAGCAUAGCAACUGCUGCACUGGUAAAAGGCUCAACUGAUGUGGAUGAAAUAUCAUAGGGAAUAGAAACUACCACUACCGUCUCGAAUGGCCACCAGUAGUAGAAGGUCGGGCACUUUUCUUCGCGUUCUUCAGAUCCUGCAUCUUGUACCACUCAAACGGCCAUGUCGUCUUGACCUUAGUGUUGAAUUGCCUGGACUCCACCUUGGCAUCUAUCAUUUACUUAGUAAUAGUGUUGGGUAUGGGUAAGAGGUUUUACCCUGCUAUGCCACAAGGGAGAUGCUAGCCGACAUCAGGGCACCAACAUUGAUCGAGUACCUGGCCAUAAUAGAAGCCACCAGAAUAUCUCGAGCAAUAGGAUGGUUGUUCUCAUUUGGGAGUGGGUAAAGUCUGAUGCAUACAAAGGUUCGCCACCCUUUGGCCUUGAACCUUAAGAGUGUUCUGGAGGAUAGGCACCCUAGUAAAAAUCCAAGGAGGAGCAGGUCCCAGUGCUAGAAUCUCCGCAAGCCACGGCCUAGCCUCUUCUUUCAGAGUCGACUUCUCUAAAUACUCCUUCGGUUCCACAUCAUCAAACCCCAAGUACGCAUUCUGAGUAUACUAAUCAAACUCCACCUUCAACUUGGGCUCAUCUGUGACCUUUGUCCCUUUGAGAAUAUGUGUUGUGUUGGCAUAGAAUUCUCGAACAAGGUGCUCCUUACAUCCACUAAUUUCUUAGUAAACAACAUCCACUCUUUUUUAGUAAACUGCUCUAAGACUAUGGGGUUGCAUUUGUCAAGAUCUUUGAGUAAGAACUGCCGCUCGUGAGUCAAGGACUUCACAGUCCAUUACAUCCGAAAUUAAAAAAUGCACGGUGAGUCACAAAUCUAUCUUCUCAGAUCUUCUUCUUAUUUGAUCUUGCCAAGCUCGCAUGUGCACCUGCUCCUUAUCUCCCAUUAUCUAGGACAUCAUCAGAAUUAGAGCUCGCAGCAACUGCAUUAGAUUCAUGACUAUCACUCACUGAAUCCUACAAAGUGUUAUGGAUAUAGGCAAAUCUAGAGGCUCAAACUGCCUCUGGCCUAGAUUUCUCUUCAUUGUGCUUCUCAGGUAAUGACAGAAAAUUUUCGGAGGCUUUCCUAGAUGGGGAAUAUGAGCUAGACUCUGAGAGGUCUCUACCUAUCCCUCGACCUGUUGUAGUCUUCUUGGAUAUUACUUUUUGCACACUUGGGGGUAAUUCACCUUUGCCAUAACCCUUGAAGAUUCUCUUCUCCCUUUGGUAGAUUCACCUCCACCUCAUGAUCAUACCGUUGUCUUUAUAACCACAAAGAGAAUUGCUAGUUGAAGUUCAUGUUUCAUAAUAAUUAAGACUCAUGUAAGUGAGUGAGAACAAUAUAGAAGUAGUGAGGUUAUAGUUGGAUAAACAUGCAGAAGAAAUAAGGGAAGUUGUAUCCACACAAUUUGGAGUGCAGCCUGCAUAAGUAGAACUACAGACCGCACAAUGCAAAGUGCAACCUCACUUCUGCACAGAUGUGCAAAAGGCUUAGAUGCACCCUCACUGAAUGCCACUAUGGAGGCUAUUUUGCAGCUACAGAGUUCAUCUGCGGCCCGCACAAUUAUAAGUGUGGUCCUCAUUUUAGAAGCUUAGAAGGCAAGCUGUGAUUGAUAAUGCGGACCAUUUUUUACCUCUCAAGAAAUUCUGCGGCCGCACUUCUGAUUGACAGUGCAAACAUUUUUCAACCUCUCAAGAAAUUAUGUGAUCCGGACAAUUAAUGUGCGGUUGUAUAAAAUAACAUAUAACCCAAUGUUGCUUACAUUAGAAGAUUGUGAACCGCACAAUUACGAACUCAAAAGGGCCUAACUUUACCUAGGUUAUGCAAAAAUUUGAUCAAAUCUACUUGGCCAUAUGGUAUAAAUAUAGAGAUCAGUUAAGUCAACCCAAUAUAGCAUGCUUUAUCAAUUACCAAGUACAAAAAAAAACUUAACCCACAUGGAUACAUUGAAGGAGUAUAAUAAUAGAUGGCCUAAAAAGAGUUAAAAAGGAAAAAUAGAUUCAAAAAAUUAAAAAGAAAUAAAAUCAACAUGAAAUGAAGCAUACCAGAUGGUGUAAAUGUGCAAAGAUCCCAGUGAGAGCAAAUGGUGGUAUGUGUUUGAAAGUGCUAAAUACUCAGGUAAUUUUUCAGAUCAACUGUAACUUUGCAAAGUGGAAAAAUGUAAAAUGAGGCCUUCAUUUCUAUACUCACAGAAAUUAGAAGGUGAAAGAGGCGAGUGAGGCCGCACAAUUUCAAGUGCGGGCAGCACUCUACGACCGAGACUUUAGUGACCAAUCACUUUUACGCGGCUGCAAAAUUCUCCAAAACUCCGCACUUUUGCUCUGCACUGAUGAAAAUUUCAUACGACCUUUCAUUUGGUAUUUAAGUAUACCCUUGCAAGUGAGCAUUCUUUUUUUAUUGUUGACGCACAAAAGAAAAGUAUGGUCCACAUUUCUUGUUUUGAUGACACAACCUUGUUGUACCAUUUCUCGUCUAACA